ensembl:lncRNA
UGCUGAAGUGAGUAUGCAUUUCUUCAACUUGCACCUCUACAGGUGUACACCUCACUUGCUCUGAAGAUGAAAUUAUGCAACAUAAACUGGAAACAGAAGCACUGCGACAGUUCAGAGAAAUGAGACAAAAUCAUCAUCAUCAUCAAAUGUAGCUGCAUGUGAAGCUCUUACUCUCAUCACAGGAGUCCACAGGAGGCUCUUGUUUACAGAUUGCUGUGUCAUUAGGGUAUUUAAACUUAUACAUUUUCAAGCAGUAUUUAUCACACUGCUGAGAGACUCUGCAGGUGAGAUUUACUUUUUUCCCAACGAAUCCAGUCACAUCAUCACAGCUUACAUUGAAAUCUGGAAAAUAACAUAUAUUUUAUAGGAACUAAAAAAUAAGUUAUUUUUCAGCAUAUCAUAAAAUACAGUUUCAUGAAAUAUACAGUUACUCUUUCCUUAGAGAAACUAUUAAUAAAUAAAAUCACGGCAUUAUGUAUUUUUUACAUUAAAUUUGGGAUUUAGAUUUCUCACACACAUUCUGGGUGAAGAUUAUUCUCUUACUUUUAGCUUGACAGACAGCAGUAAAGGUCCAAAGCAGAAUGAACAGUUGAACAGCAUUUACAGCAUUCAUGGUUGUAAUUCUACAACAACAACAACAACAAAAGACAGAGAUUUGCAUCAGAAAUGAAACUUACAGUUGGUAAAGAAGUACUAGAGAUAGAGAUUAGAUAGAGACUUUACAGAGGACAAUUUACUGAUAACCCAGCACAAAUGUCAGCACUUAUCAAUGCAUUUAUAAGCUUACUUGGAUUAAAUCAGUCCUGAAUAAAUAAAAAUUAAACUUAACAAGCCAUAUAGACUACUUUUAUGGUAUUAAUGUAUUUAAAAAUCACUCAAGGUUGAUUAAAUGAUAGAAUUUUAUUUAGAUUCAUGAACUAUUCCUGUAUGCCAUAGGCUUAAUAUAAUAAUUACACAGUAAAAAAAAAAAAAAAAAAAAAAAAACUAAAAGUCUGAGAAUAUGUUGUACAUAUUCAGUAUAUCACACUUAAAUAAUUUGAAAGGUUUCACCCAACAUAAUAAAUCAUGCUUUAAUUAGAAGGAGCCGAAGGAACUCAUGAGUGCAAAAUUCAACCUCGAAAAAUAUUUAUUAGCUAUAGUAAAGCACUGAGAGCACAUAAUGAAACACAUGAAAUUUUCCGUAGUUUGUUGUGGAUUAGUAAAGGGAAUUAUUUAGUGUUCAUAGAAGUAUGCUCACCUGCGGUCUGUGUGUCCUCACCAUCUGAGUUUAUUCCACUCUGACUCUCUCUGCUGCUCACACGUUUAAAUAGAGGCUUUCACUUUCACUUUCAAUAUGACUUAUGCAGUGGUGGAGGUAACGAAUUACAACUUACGUUAUUGUAAUUAAGUAGUUUCUACUUGUACUUGUACUUGUACUUGUACUUUUUGAGUAUAUUUUUAAAGCUGUACUUUUACAUGUAAGUAGCCUACAAAUUAAGCAAAAUAAUCUACUUCGUUAUUUUAAAUCAUAGUUCGUUACUGAGUAUGCCCACAAUUUAAAUUGAUAUUGAAACCUUUGACGGCACUUCAAUAGCCAAAGAUCCGAAUGUAAACGGACCAAUAAAUGCUGAUCUGCUGCAGUAUACUUUCUAUAUCUGCAUAUCUAUCAGCUACCUUGCAGUAUAGAUAUUAAUCAGCAGACACUGAUAAUGAAUGAAAUGAAAGUAAAGUUUUCUUUGUUUCUGUUGUGAAAUCAUUCAGUGGUUCACCUGCCAUGUUU